rnacentral:rRNA from 1 species
CCUGCCCAAUGGUUGUAUCUAAAAGCGGUUGAUAAAAGUCGACCGCGUAAGGACAAUUGAAUGGCCGCGGUAACACUGACCGUGAUAAUGUAGCGUAAUCAAUAGCCAAUUAAUUGUUGGCCAGUAUGAAUGGCGCCACGAAGGCCCCACUGUCUUAAGGAAAUUCCCAGUGAAAUUGAAUUCGUAGUGAAGAUGCUACGUCCAAUUUGUUAGACGAAAAGACCCCGUUGAGCUUUACUGGGGCACUUACACGGCCCCGGCCUUCAAGACUGGGUUGAUAAGCCAAGGCUUACCAUACCUAGGGACCGGCCGAAUUUAAAUGGGCGGCUUAGACUAUGUGGCAGCCCCCCCCGUCGGGGCAGAUGAAACCCCACUCCCCCAUGUCAAAGGGGCUAACCCCCCCCCCCUUGGGGGGGGGACAAUGUAAGUAGGACAGUUUGGUUGGGGCGACCGCCUUUUAGAGAGUAACGAAGGUGCGCUUAAGGUGCGUAAUUAAUGACUGAAGCCUGACUGCGAGGGGGACACCCCGAGCAGACACCCCCAAGCCCGCCCGAGAAGGCUUUGCCUUCUGGGCGGCGGUGGGGUGG